UAUUAGGUUGGUACAAAAGUAAUUGCAGUUUUUGCCAUUGAAAGUAAUGGCAAAACCACAAUUACUUUUACACUAACCUAAUAAUUGUCUUCUGGCCCAAACUUCCCUUGGAGACACC
rnacentral:miRNA from 1 species